GCUAACGAGCGCAACCCUCGCUGUGUGUUAUAUGUGUCACACGGGACGUGCCGGUCUUAAGCCGGAGGAAGGUGGGGAUGAUGUCAAGUCAGCAUGGCCUUUAUAUCCUGGGCUACACACACGCUACAAUGGCCAACACAAUAGGUUGCUAAGCCGCGAGGUGGCGCCAAUCCAUAAAGUUGGUCUCAGUUCAGAUUGUAGGCUGCAACCCGCCUGCAUGAAGAUGGAGUUGCUAGUAACCGCAGGUCAGCUAUACUGCGGUGAAUACGUUCCCGGGGCUU
rnacentral:rRNA from 1 species